UUCUCAUCAUGAGAAAAACAACUGCAGAGUAGAAUUCCCAGGCAACAGACAGAUGGUUAAACCAGAUGAUGGUGCUGGUAUAAACCACACGAAUUGACACCCAUGGAGAUUUAUGGCCCUAAUUCACCAUUGUGUUACUUCAGAUUAACCUCAGUUUACCCACUCUGGGUCUGCUCCUCAGCUGCGGUGAAUCACUGUGGGGCAGAUGGAGUCAGCUGGGCCAGGUCCACCACAGGUCUCAAUCAGCUUUACUUCCAUUGGGGCUGGAUUCCCCCAGCUAGAGUAAACCAGCAUGGGGCUAAUGGGACAGAUACACAAAGGCACAACACAGAAGCAUGCAGACACACGCGCACGUGCAAACACAAACAAUAGAGACAGAUAGAAACACACCCACACUCACAAAACCAGCACACACAACACAGAGCUUUUAAGUCUUCCCACAAUGUAUUUAAUUCAAUUCUCACCACGUAGCAACAAGAAGUACAAUAAAAAGGAAAAUGAAUCAGAAAAAACGGCACAAAGCCAGAAACCGACCUUCCAGGAAAUGCAGAGGAAGGAAUUUGUCCCACGAGUUCUUACCUGCGCUUCAGUUGCAGAACCCAGUCCGUUUCCUGUGUCUGUUACGCAUUUCCCGAACCCCUCCUUCUUCUGCUAGGCCGGUCUCGCACUAACCUCUCCCAGUCUUUCCGAGAAGUUGCCUUUAAAUUCUUCUCCCAGCGACCACUCAGCUUGUCUGGCUCCAGCUGUCUGAGGCACCAUGGAGACACGGUUCAUUCUCAACCUUUGGAUCUUUAACCUACUAGGUGCGGUGCUGGGUGACUCGAUCCGGUCCAAUGAACCCGAGGUGUCCAGAUCACAAGGCGAUACCGUGACCCUCAGCUGUUCUUACGAUACCAGCUACACUGCCGGUGUCUUUCUCUACUGGUACCGCCAGUACCCGAACCGAGCCCCGCAGUUCAUCCUCCUGAGAGGAGCAAAAGGAAGCACGUUCAGUGAUACUGCAGGUUUCGCCCAGGAGAGGUUUUCUUCGCAGGCGAACGACACCUCCACAGUUCUGAACAUCAAAGCCCUGGAGCUGGCGGACACAGCGGUGUAUCUCUGCGCCCUGCAGAGAGCACAGUGACAGAGCCUCACAGCAGAGCUGUACAAAAACCUCCCAGUCCUGCUGCAGGGGAUGCCACAGGCAUUAAAACGGGCUGCAGCGCCUUGAAACAGCCUGAGUAUUGACGCUGCUUAAAAAUACAUCUCCUCCUAACAGUUACAGGUUUCUGUAAAGAGCUAAUUUAAACACAAUCCUUGGAUAAUAUAUUGGGCCUGAUCUUUAAUUAGGAAACUAUUAAUACCUAUUUUCUUAGCUGACGAGAUGACCUGUUCUGUGUUGCGUGGGGGGAAAGCAUUUGUAGUAAAACAAGGGUUAAAGGUAAGUAGAAAUGUAGAUGAAGUGACAUUGCUGAAAAUACAAAUUGAGAUAAAAUGCGAAUGAAAACAUCCCUUUACACAUGGACAAUAUACCGUUAAAUUGCUCAUUUAUGUUGAAAUGGGGGUUAAAUACGCGAGUUAAAAUACUGGGGAAAUAAUUCGAAAUACCCGGUUUUGAGUGGUGGGGUAAAGCUGCAGUUACCAACUCUCCCAGAGUCAAAUCAAUGCGCCUGUUGUAGAUACAUUUGCAUUUUGGGUAGAUUUGUUUGGAAACUAUUUAAUUGCAAGACACUUUCCCCAAGAACCGUGAGCUCUAAAAUCAUGUGGUACGUGGUAAAGUCAUGACAAAGCACCGCCAUCUGCUGGUUGGAAAUAUAAACACAGGUUGUCAUUGGAAACCCUUCCACGCGCUGUGUCUUCGGUUUCACUCAGGCUGCCGGCAAAGGCAGCAGAGGAAAGACGAAAAUGAUUUUAAAUAAUUCUUUCAGGAGUUCUGGCUGGGCAUUUCAAAGGAGGUUAAUGGAGUUGGGCGCCUCAUUCCAUUACAUUUGUUGUG